rnacentral:rRNA from 1 species
AGCUUGCUACCUGACCUAGCGGCGGACGGGUGAGUAAUGCUUAGGAAUCUGCCUAUUAGUGGGGGACAACAUUCCGAAAGGAAUGCUAAUACCGCAUACGCCCUACGGGGGAAAGCAGGGGAUCUUCGGACCUUGCGCUAAUAGAUGAGCCUAAGUCAGAUUAGCUAGUUGGUGGGGUAAAGGCCUACCAAGGCGACGAUCUGUAGCGGGUCUGAGAGGAUGAUCCGCCACACUGGGACUGAGACACGGCCCAGACUCCUACGGGAGGCAGCAGUGGGGAAUAUUGGACAAUGGGCGAAAGCCUGAUCCAGCCAUGCCGCGUGUGUGAAGAAGGCCUUUUGGUUGUAAAGCACUUUAAGCGAGGAGGAGGCUACUUAGAUUAAUACUCUAGGAUAGUGGACGUUACUCGCAGAAUAAGCACCGGCUAACUCUGUGCCAGCAGCCGCGGUAAUACAGAGGGUGCGAGCGUUAAUCGGAUUUACUGGGCGUAAAGCGUGCGUAGGCGGCUUCUUAAGUCGGAUGUGAAAUCCCUGAGCUUAACUUAGGAAUUGCAUUCGAUACUGGGAAGCUAGAGUAUGGGAGAGGAUGGUAGAAUUCCAGGUGUAGCGGUGAAAUGCGUAGAGAUCUGGAGGAAUACCGAUGGCGAAGGCAGCCAUCUGGCCUAAUACUGACGCUGAGGUACGAAAGCAUGGGGAGCAAACAGGAUUAGAUACCCUGGUAGUCCAUGCCGUAAACGAUGUCUACUAGCCGUUGGGGCCUUUGAGGCUUUAGUGGCGCAGCUAACGCGAUAAGUAGACCGCCUGGGGAGUACGGUCGCAAGACUAAAACUCAAAUGAAUUGACGGGGGCCCGCACAAGCGGUGGAGCAUGUGGUUUAAUUCGAUGCAACGCGAAGAACCUUACCUGGUCUUGACAUAGUAAGAACUUUCCAGAGAUGGAUUGGUGCCUUCGGGAACUUACAUACAGGUGCUGCAUGGCUGUCGUCAGCUCGUGUCGUGAGAUGUUGGGUUAAGUCCCGCAACGAGCGCAACCCUUUUCCUUAUUUGCCAGCGGGUUAAGCCGGGAACUUUAAGGAUACUGCCAGUGACAAACUGGAGGAAGGCGGGGACGACGUCAAGUCAUCAUGGCCCUUACGACCAGGGCUACACACGUGCUACAAUGGUCGGUACAAAGGGUUGCUACCUAGCGAUAGGAUGCUAACCUCAAAAAGCCGAUCGUAGUCCGGAUUGGAGUCUGCAACUCGAC